rnacentral:sRNA from 1 species
GUCCCGCACAGAGCUAACGCCUUUAAUGAGCGCCGGAGAUAAGCGCCGGACGGGACUUUCAUC